rnacentral:misc_RNA from 1 species
GAUGAAGAACGUAGCGAAAUGUGAUAAGUAAUGUGAAUUGCAGAAUUCCGUGAAUCAUCGAAUCUUUGAACGCACAUUGCGCCCCCUGGCAUUCCGGGGGGCAUGCCUGUCCGAGCGUCAUUUCUGCCCUCAAGCCCGGCUUGUGUGUUGGGCGUGGUCCCCCCGGUUUAGGGGGGACCUGCCCGAAAGGCAGCGGCGACGUUCCGCCUAGGUCCUCGAGCGUAUGGGGCUUUGUCACCCGCUCGGGAGGGGCCUACGGGCGUUGGCCAUCCCCCAUUUUUUUUUACGGUUGACCUCGGAUCAGGUAGGAGUUACCCGCUGAACUUAAGCAUAUCAAUAAGCGGAGGA